ensembl:snRNA U6 U6 spliceosomal RNA
GUGCUCACUUAGGCAACAUAUAUAGUAAAAUUGCAACACUACAGAGAUGAGCAUGGCUUCUGCGCAAAGAUGAUAUACAAAUUCGUGAAGCAUUCCAUUUUUGG